GAUUGCGGACAAGCAUGCGGUGUGUCCAGAAACCCAGAAGUGUGUGUUGGCAGGAAGAGUUGAUGUUGAUGUGUGUUGUGCUCCACUGACCUAUUAUUUUGCCCACUGGGCGAGUGUGCAGAGCCAUGAAAGCAGGAGCUUUCUCAAGUGGAAAUCAUACCGCGUUCUUCUUCUCUGAUGGAUUUCUGGCCGGCUCAUCAGUUUCGCUCAGUGACACCUUGUGGGGAACGAAUAGAAUCGGUUCAUAUUCCCAACGCGAGUCCAAUAAAACCCUUAAAAGUGUGACAUAAAAACGAAUCUGUUAUUUUUCUAGAGACAUCUGGACUCUUAAUGAGCACUUGCAAUAAAUAAAAGGGUGAAUUCGUAGAAGAUGCAUCUUUGAGACACCUUUUUACAAUAAAUGAUGCAAAUUUCUCA